UACAGAGGUCCCAAGCGUUGUUCGGAAUUACUGGGCGUAAAGAGUGUGUAGGCGGUGUCGUAAGUUUGGCGUGAAAUCUCCCGGCUUAACUGGGAGGGUGCGCCGAAGACUGCGAUGCUUGAGGAUUGGAGAGGAAAGUGGAAUUUCUGGUGUAGCGGUGAAAUGCGUAGAUAUCAGAAGGAACACCUGUGGUGUAGACGGCUUUCUGGACAAUUCCUGACGCUGAGACACGAAAGCGUGGGUAGCAAACAGG
rnacentral:rRNA from 1 species